GAUGAACGCUGGCGGCGUGCUUAACACAUGCAAGUCGAACGGAAAGGCCCAAGCUUGCUUGGGUACUCGAGUGGCGAACGGGUGAGUAACACGUGGGUGAUCUGCCCUGCACUUCGGGAUAAGUCUGGGAAACUGGGUCUAAUACCGGAUAGGACCAUCGUUUGGAUGCUAUUGGGGAAAGCUUUUACGGUGUGGGAUGAGCUCUCGGCGUUUCAGAUUGUUGGUGGGGUGAUGUCCUACCAAGGCGUCGACGGGUAGCCGCCCUGAGAGAGUGUGCGGCCACAUUGGGACGGAGAGACGGCCCAGACUCCUACGGGAGGCAGCAGUGGGGAAUAUUGCACAAUAAGCGCAAGCCUGAUGCAGCGACGCCGCGUGGGGGAUGACGGCCUUCGGGUUGUAAACUCCUUUCGCUAGGAACGAAGCGUUUUUGUGACGGUACCUGGAGAAGAAGCACCGGCUAACUACGUG
rnacentral:rRNA from 1 species